rnacentral:lncRNA from 1 species
GAGAAGCCACAGGAGGAGGUGAUUGUUACCGACUUUGAGAAGGUUACCAUUUCCGAGCCUGAGCCAAAGGUGGAGGAGGAGGAGGAGAAGAAGCAUGGACUCUUGGAGAAGCUUCACCGAUCUGAUAGCAGCUCCAGCUCUGUGAGUUUUUAUCUUAUAUCAAUGUUUUUUUUUUGUUUUUUUCCUCGUUUGUUUACAGGCUUAAUGGAGGGAAGGAUUAAAUAGUAAUUUUGUUGUUCCCUGAUAGCUGGGGGGUGAUCUCCCCGCUCCACGUAUAAAUCCUUAGACUUCAAUGACUAAUCUGCCCUCACGUUUAAAAAACUUGCAGUCGAGCGAGGAGGAAGGAGAGGGAGGAGAAAAGAAGAAGAAGAAAAAGAAGGACAAGAAGAAAAAGGAGGAGGACACUUGUGUGCCGGUGGAGAAGUGUGAUGAAGUAGUUCCACCACAGCCGGAGGAGAAGAAGGGCUUCUUAGACAAGAUCAAGGAGAAACUGCCAGGACAGCACAAGAAGGCAGAAGAGGUUCCUCCUCCGCCACCACCUCCGGCAGAGUGCUCCCCCUCCUCAGAGACACACGAAGGCGAGGUAAAGGAGAAGAAGGGAAUAUUGGAGAAGAUCAAGGAAAAGCUUCCUGGAUACCACCCCAAGACCGAAGAAGAGAAGAAAGAGAAAGAGAAGGAUUGUGAAUAAGCCCAUAGAAAAAAAAACCAAUGUUUAUCGUUGAUUGUGCGGUUUGUUUGAUCACAGGAU